rnacentral:rRNA from 1 species
GACGAACGCUGGCGGCGUGCCUAAUACAUGCAAGUCGAACGGACCUUGCUUGGACGGAGUGGAGUACUUGUACAAAGCGAAGACUAAGCGCUGGUUAGUGGCGAACGGGUGAGUAACACGUAGGUAACCUACCGAUAAGACGAGGACAACUCAUGGAAACGUGAGCUAAUACUGGAUAUGGUAUAGGGAAGGCAUCUUUCUUAUAUUAAAGGAGCUUCUGGCUUCACUUAUUGAUGGACCUGCGGCGUAUUAGCUAGUUGGUGGGAUAGCAGCCUACCAAGGCGAUGAUACGUAGCCGAUCUGAGAGGAUAAACGGCCACACCGGGACUGAGAUACGGCCCAGACUCCUACGGGAGGCAGCAGUAGGGAAUUUUCCACAAUGGACGAAAGUCUGAUGGAGCAACGCCGCGUGUGUGAAGAAGGUUUUCGGAUUGUAAAGCACUGUUGUAUGGGAAGAAUAAGGUGAGAAGGAAAUGGCUCAUUGAUGACG